rnacentral:rRNA from 1 species
GAUCCUAGCUCAGGAUGAACGCUAGCUACAGGCUUAACACAUGCAAGUCGAGGGGCAGCAUCAUCAAAGCUUGCUUUGAUGGAUGGCGACCGGCGCACGGGUGAGUAACACGUAUCCAACCUGCCGACAACACUGGGAUAGCCUUUCGAAAGAAAGAUUAAUACCGGAUGGCAUAAUUAUUCCGCAUGGGAUAAUUAUUAAAGAAUUUCGGUUGUCGAUGGGGAUGCGCU